rnacentral:rRNA from 1 species
UACGGAGGGGGCUAGCGUUGUUCGGAAUUACUGGGCGUAAAGCGCACGUAGGCGGGUCGUUAAGUCAGGGGUGAAAUCCUGGAGCUCAACUCCAGAACUGCCCUUGAUACUGGCGAUCUCGAGUUCGGGAGAGGUGAGUGGAACUGCGAGUGUAGAGGUGAAAUUCGUAGAUAUUCGCAAGAACACCAGUGGCGAAGGCGGCUCACUGGCCCGAUACUGACGCUGAGGUGCGAAAGCGUGGGGAGCAACAGGG